CUUAGUACGGCGAGUGAGCGGUAAAAGCUCAAAUUUGAAAUCUGGUACUUUCAGUGCCCGAGUUGUAAUUUGUAGAAUUUGUCUUUGAUUAGGUCCUUGUCUAUGUUCCUUGGAACAGGACGUCAUAGAGGGUGAGAAUCCCGUUUGGCGAGGAUACCUUUUCUCUGUAAGACUUUUUCGAAGAGUCGAGUUGUUUGGGAAUGCAGCUCAAAGUGGGUGGUAAAUUCCAUCUAAAGCUAAAUAUUGGCGAGAGACCGAUAGCGAACAAGUACAGUGAUGGAAAGAUGAAAAGAACUUUGAAAAGAGAGUGAAAAAGUACGUGAAAUUGUUGAAAGGGAAGGGCAUUUGAUCAGACAUGGUGUUUUUUGCAUGCACUCGCCUCUCGUGGGCUUGGGCCUCUCAAAAAUUUCACUGGGCCAACAUCAAUUCUGGCAGCAGGAUAAAUCAUUAAGAAUGUAGCUACUUCGGUAGUGUUAUAGCUUUUUGGAAUACUGUUAGCCGGGAUUGAGGACUGCGCUUCGGCAAGGAUGUUGGCAUAAUGGUUAAAUGCCGCCCGUC
rnacentral:rRNA from 1 species